CAACUACUCCCUCUGUCCCAAAUUUCUUGUCUUAGAUUUGUCUAGAUACGGAUGUAUCUAAUACUAAAAUGUGACUUGAUACAUCCGUAUCUAGACAAAUCUAAGACAAGAAUUUUCGGACGGAAGGAGUACUUU
rnacentral:pre_miRNA from 1 species